rnacentral:lncRNA from 1 species
CUAUGAGUACCAGGGUGCUGUGUAGAGUAUAUCUCCAACCACAUGAUGAAACAAAACAGCAAGCGACUCUUGAAAGGGAGAGACCAUCAUUUUAAGUCAUUUCAAAAGCUAGUUCAUAUGAAGGCAGAGACUCUGGCCAAGAUCUUAACAAAUUACAUUUUAUUCAGUGCACAAGAAAUUAGCACAGCUGCCUGAAGGAAAAUAUGUCCUGGGAUUGUGUACACAGUGCAAGGCCAAAGGGCAGCCAUAUUCCAAGUAGACCGUAAACAGGAGGUUUAUUGGAGGCCUUUCCAAAGAACGCGACCAAAUUUCAGCCGUGAGAUAACCAGAAUUCCAGCCAAAAUUGGGAGUGAUGGAAACUGUCAAAUGUCUUUGGAUCUUUUGUGGAGAUUAAUCCCUUGGCUGUCCAGUCUCUGAUGAAUGAAGGAGAAUAAUUCAGAGUCACUGAACACCCUUGCUCUUAACUGGAGAGGCAGGAUAUCAACGAGGCCAUGUGAAGACAUAGGGAGAAGACAGCCAUCUCCACCCCAAGGAAAGGGGCCUCCGAGGAAAGUAGCCCUGCUGACACCUUGACCACAGACUGCUAGAUUCCAAAA